GAUGAAGAACGUAGCGAAAUGCGAUAAGUAAUGUGAAUUGCAGAAUUCAGUGAAUCAUCGAAUCUUUGAACGCACAUUGCACUCAUUAGUAUUCUAGUGAGUAUGCCUGUUCGAGCGUCAUUUCAACCCUUAAGCCUAGCUUAGUGUUGGGACUCUACCCUAACCGGUAGUUCCCCAAAAUCAGUUGGCGGAGUUCAGUCGGCUCUGAGUGUAGUAAUUUUCUCUCGCUUUAGAAGUCUUCUGGAUUACGGCCAGAAAGAGACGAGUCUCGCAUCUCGGUGCGUUUCUCAACUUUUUUUUACAAUGGUUGAUCUCGGAUCAGGUAGGAAUACCCGCUGAACUUAAGCAUAUCAAUAAGCGGAGGA
rnacentral:misc_RNA from 1 species